GAAGAUUACUUGCUUACCAAAUAAAUAGAAGUUCAUGGUGAAGGUCAUUGGAGUUCAUUACCCCAUAAUGCAGGAGGGGGAAAAGCUGCAGAUUACGUUGGAUGAACUAUUUGAGACCAAAUAUACAGAGAGGAAACAUUUCUCAAGAUGAAGAAGAGCUUAUAAUCCGAAUGCACAAUCUGCUAGGAAACAGGUGUUUCUCAGAUGGGCUUUGAUAGCAGGAAGAAUUCCAGGCAGGACAGGCAAUGAAAUAAAAAACUACUGGAUGACUCAUUUGAGAAAGAAGCUAUGCAA